AAAUUGCUCACCCCCAAUAAACAUUCACCUAUAUGAAUAAAAAAAAAAUAGUGCAAGAUAAUAAACCGGCAAAAAGUAAGUAACAAACACAUCUACAAUCCUAUGGUGUUUCCAGUUAAGGGCUACUUAAUCCCUUGCCAGCAAGGCUAAUUAUGAUGCGGAAAACAUAAGAACUCAUCUUUGAGUUUCCAACUGUUCCUGUUCUGAGACACCUUCAGUCCAACAAUGCCAUAUCUUGAAGCAAGAUACUUACAAUUAAACAAAGAUUCGAGCCAUGAAAACUAUUGACAAUUAAAAGAGCUUCUAAAUGGCAUAUCAUCAAAACAAACACAAGCAACAAAUAAAGAAGAAACUUGUAAAGC